rnacentral:rRNA from 1 species
UGGGGAAUAUUGGACAAUGGGCGAAAGCCUGAUCCAGCCAUGCCGCGUGUGUGAAGAAGGUCUUCGGAUUGUAAAGCACUUUAAGUUGGGAGGAAGGGCAGUAAAUUAAUACUUUGCUGUUUUGACGUUACCGACAGAAUAAGCACCGGCUAACUCUGUGCCAGCAGCCGCGGUAAUACAGAGGGUGCAAGCGUUAAUCGGAAUUACUGGGCGUAAAGCGCGCGUAGGUGGUUCGUUAAGUUGGAUGUGAAAUCCCCGGGCUCAACCUGGGAACUGCAUUCAAAACUGACGAGCUAGAGUAUGGUAGAGGGUGGUGGAAUUUCCUGUGUAGCGGUGAAAUGCGUAGAUAUAGGAAGGAACACCAGUGGCGAAGGCGACCACCUGGACUGAUACUGACACUGAGGUGCGAAAGCGUGGGGGAGCAAAACAGGAUUAGAUACCCUGGUAGUCCACGCCGUAAACGAUGUCAACUAGCCGUUGGGAGCCUUGAGCUCUUAGUGGCGCAGCUAACGCAUUAAGUUGACCGCCUGGGGAGUACGGCCGCAAGGUUAAAA